GAUGAACGCUGGCGGCGUGCCUAAUACAUGCAAGUCGAGCGAACAGACGAGGAGCUUGCUCCUCUGACGUUAGCGGCGGACGGGUGAGUAACACGUGGAUAACCUACCUAUAAGACUGGGAUAACUUCGGGAAACCGGAGCUAAUACCGGAUAAUAUAUUGAACCGCAUGGUUCAAUAGUGAAAGACGGUUUUGCUGUCACUUAUAGAUGGAUCCGCGCCGCAUUAGCUAGUUGGUAAGGUAACGGCUUACCAAGGCAACGAUGCGUAGCCGACCUGAGAGGGUGAUCGGCCACACUGGAACUGGGACACGGUCAAGACUCCUACGGGAGGCAGCAGUAGGGAAUCUUCCGCAAUGGGCGAAAGCAUGACGGAGCAACGCCGCGUGAGUGAUGAAGGUCUUCGGAUCGUAAAACUCUGUUAUUAGGGAAGAACAAAUGUGUAAGUAACUAUGCACGUCUUGACGGUACCUAAUCAGAAAGCCACGGCUAACUACGUG
rnacentral:rRNA from 1 species